rnacentral:rRNA from 1 species
UACGAAGGGAGCUAGCGUUGUUCGGAAUCACUGGGCGUAAAGGGCUCGUAGGCGGCCAACUAAGUCAGACGUGAAAUCCCUCGGCUUAACCGGGGAACUGCGUCUGAUACUGGUUGGCUUGAAUCCGGGAGAGGGAUGUGGAAUUCCAGGUGUAGCGGUGAAAUGCGUAGAUAUCUGGAGGAACACCGGUGGCGAAGGCGGCAUCCUGGACCGGUAUUGACGCUGAGGAGCGAAAGCCAGGGGAGCAAACGGG